rnacentral:rRNA from 1 species
UUUCGCAAUGCCCGAAAGGGCGACGAAGCGACGCCGCGUGCGGGAAGAAGGCCUUCGGGUUGUAAACCGCUGUCGGGAGUUAAGAAAUGCAAGGGUGUUAAUAGUAUCCUUGCUUGACUAAGGCUCCGGAGGAAGCCACGGCUAACUCUGUGCCAGCAGCCGCGGUAAUACAGAGGCGGCAAGCGUUGUUCGGAAUUAUUGGGCGUAAAGAGCACGUAGGCGGCUGUGUAAGUCGGUUGUGAAAGCCUUCCGCUCAACGGGAGAACGGCAUCCGAUACUGCAUAGCUUGAGUGCGGGAGGGGAGAGUGGAACUUCUGGUGGAGCGGUGAAAUGCGUAGAUAUCAGAAGGAACACCGGCGGCGAAGGCGACUCUCUGGCCCGUAACUGACGCUGAGUGUGCGAAAGCUAGGGGAGCAAAUGGGAUUAGAUACCCCGGUAGUCCUAGCCGUAAACGAUGGGCACUAAGUAGAGGGGUUUUA